CUCAAUCUGCCUACAUCUCAUUCUGCCUACAGCUAAAUACAACACAAGUCAUGGUCUGUUGGUCACAACUGUGUAGGCAGAAUGAGAAAGCGAUAGAUAAUACUUGACCCUACCUCCCCACAAGAAAAAUGGAAGAGCUUGAGUUUUUUGUCUCUUCAGUUUUU